UGUUUCAGGGCCUGGAGUCCAGUAGAACUAGAAGCAAACCACAGCACAGCCAGAAGAGGCAGAAUCAGAGAAAUCCCUGGAUAAAGAUGGUCCUGCACAGACAUAAGGUGUGGGCAAAGUGCUGAUGUGAUGACAUCCAAGCAUGCUGAAAACAGGUCCCAUCCCACUUUCUAUUUAAAAAUCCUGGUCAUAUGGACACUCAGACAGGCUCUUUCUCUUUAGGAUGCUGAGAUACCAGUGUCAUCUCUUUCACUUUUCCUAUGUCUGCUAAACUAUUUGGCAUUAUGUCCAGAAUAGUGAAGGGCAGUCAUUGCCAAGUCCUUCCCCUGCUUAUCACUUACUGUUUGCAGGAAUGUUUCAGAAAAAGAUGUGAUUUAAUCAAAGAUUGCCUAAAUUCACUUCUACUGGGAAAUUAGUAUUUAGUAUCAGUGCCCUUAUAUUUUAGGGAAAGAAAAAAAUUAUGUAGUUCAGUGCCUUGAUUCUGCCUUAAAAACAUGUAUGGCAAUGUGAGAACUAGCUAUGGAAAAUCACUUUCUGGUCUAAUGUUUUUUCUUGCCAGACUCUGUAACUCAUACAGAGUAGAGUAGUAUCCCCCCAAAAUAAAUGGCAAUAUUUCAAUUCCAGAAUCAGGACAUUAACAUAUAACAUUUUUUAUGUAAAAAAACCCCCAGCACCAUCACCCCAAAACAGCAGAGGCUGGGCUAGUGACAGACCCUUUCCUGGGAAAUACAAAAAUCAUGUGGGUUAGAACUACACUUAUGAUUCUUCCAGAAAGUGCAAUGAUGUAGGAAGGAGUCUGAAGUUUCCUGACUUGCUCAUGAUUUCCCCACUGCCAAAAAAAGGAUCACAAAUCCUUGCAGGGCUUUCUCUCAAGUGCUGUUGUUGGCCAUGUUGUUGUUGUUAGGGUAGGGCCUGCCUAGAGAGGUCAGUUUGCUCUGCAGCCUGUGAUGGACGUUCUGACGGGGAACACUCAGCCCCUGCUGCAGCAGCUUUUCUGCUGCCUCUGUGUAAAAUGAGAGCUGCCAGGAAUGUCAGCACAGGGCAAGCAGAAAUGUCAGAACAACGCUCUGUAGCAACACUGCUCAUCCCUGUACUGCUGCUAGGAUGUGGCUGGACACUGAGCCCCAGAGAUGGUAAGAGCACAUU